rnacentral:tRNA from 1 species
AUUUAUAUAUUAUAAAAAUUAUAAUUGAUUUCCAAUCAAAAAAUCUAGCAAUAAAUCUAGUAUAAAUA